rnacentral:rRNA from 1 species
CCUACGGGUGGCAGCAGUGGGGAAUAUUGGGCAAUGGAGGCAAGUCUGACCCAGCAAUGCCGCGUGAGGGAUGAAGGUAAUUUGAUUGUAAACUUCUUUUCUUUGGGACGAACAAAUGACGGUACCUAAGGAAUAAGCCACGGCUAACUACGUGCCAGCAGCCGCGGUAAUACGUAGGGGGCAAGCGUUGUUCGGAAUGACUGGGUGUAAAGGGCGUGUAGGCGGUGUGAUAAGUCAGAUGUGAAAUACGAGGGCUCAACCCCGGGGCUGCAUUUGAAACUGUUUGACUUGAGUACCGGAGAGGAAAGCGGAAUUCCUAGUGUAGCGGUGAAAUGCGUAGAUAUUAGGAGGAACAUCAGUGGCGAAGGCG